UGGCGGCAUUAGCGCGGUGGUCCCACCUGACCCCAUGCCGAACUCAGAAGUGAAACGCCGUAGCGCCGAUGGUAGUGUGGGGUCUCCCCAUGCGAGAGUAGGGAACUGCCAGGCA
rnacentral:rRNA from 2 species